AUACGGAGGAUCCGAGCGUUAUCCGGAUUUAUUGGGUUUAAAGGGUGCGCAGGCGGCCAUUUAAGUCAGCGGUUAAAUCGUGGGGCUCAACCCCAUUCUGCCGUUGAUACUGGGUGGCUUGAUUGCGGUCGAGGCUGGCGGAAUUCGUUGUGUAGCGGUGAAAUGCAUAGAUAUGACGAAGAACACCGAUUGCGUAGGCAGCUGACCAGACCGCAAAUGACGCUCAUGCACGAAAGUGCGGGGAUUGAACAGGAUUAGAUACCCUGGUAGUCCGCACAGUAAACGAUGAAUACUUGUUUUCGGCGAUAUAAUGUCGGAGGCAAAGCGAAAGCGAUAAGUAUUCCACCUGGGGAGUACGCCGGCAACGGUGAAACUCAAAUGAAUUGACGGGG
rnacentral:rRNA from 1 species